GAGGACAGAGCAGAAGACCCUUGGUUUUCCUUAGUUAGACAAGGCAGGACAAUUCACAUGAGUAGGGAAUUUGUUUCAACCUGACAUGCCCUGGAGUUGGUAUGAUACUGGUAUGGCUUCAUUUACAUACAGCUGAUAGGGAAUGUAUGAAAUGCAGAAGAAGCAAUGUGUCAUGUAUCUGUCAUCUGUCAAAAGGAACAAGAAUCUCAAUUGUAAGAUGUAGACCAGGCAUCUAAUUCUUGAAUAUGUUGCACUUAAUUACCACAAGAAAAUAAUUUUAUGAACUGUCUGAGCUCAGGCUGCUAUGAAAAAUAUCGUAGACUGGGUGGCUUAGACAACAGAAAUAUCUUUUUUUUUUUUUUGUCCUUUUGUCUUUUUAGGGCCACUCCCUUGGCAUAUGGAGGUUCUCAGGCUAGGGGUCAAAUAGGAACUAUAGCUUCCGGCCUACAUCACAGCCAGAGCUGCAUCUGCAACCUAUACCACAUCUCACAGCAACGUGGGAUCCAUAACCCACUGAGCAAGGCCAGGGAUCAAACCCCAGUUCUUAUGGGACACUAGUUGGUUUCAUUAACCACUGAGCCAUGACAGGAACUCCCACAUCCUGUGCUUUUUUCAGAGAUGUUCUGCUUCUCUGAAAAUGUUCCUGAGUUAAGGAUCCUGCGUUGCUGUGGCUGUGGUGUAGGCCAGCAGCUAUAGUUCCAAUUGGACCCUUAGCCUGGGAACCUCCAUAUGCCGCAGAUUCGGCCCUGAAAAGAAAAAGAAACAAGAAAAGAAAAAAAAAAAAAANAGCUAUGUAAGGAUAAAAUCAGAUGAUAUCCAUGAAAGGGCUCCGUGAGCUGUAAAAGAUGACACACUGUUAUUGUUAGGCCAUGGCAGUGCAAAAAUAUAGUACAUUUAUACAUAGCUUUGAUAUGAUCUAAAAGUUUAAGCUUUUAGGAGAAUUAAGACGUUUUCAUGAAAACAAAGUUGACAUAUUUUCAAAGAUCUUUUACUUCAAUUCUUUGAUUUAACCAUAUUCACUUCUUCUUUCUUAGUUCCACUGUCAUUACUUUAGUUCAAGAUGCCAUUAGGUCUCCUAACCAGGUUCCUCCUACAGGUAUGUCUUCCUCUAACACUGCUUUCUUUGCAUCUUUUUCCUACUCAUCCUGAUUUCUGGGAUCGGGAGACUGUCUUCACCUGCAAGUGUGAACAUAUCCAAAGAACUACCUGGGGAGGGGAGAGGGUUAGACAUGUGGGUUUGGAAAUUACAAGCGCAUUCUACAUGGCACGGGAGUGUGACAGAGCAGGAAGACUGCAGACUCCGGAACUGGACUACUAUUUGAAUUCUGGAUCUGCUACUUGUAUUUAUGACCUCUGGGAAGCGACUUAAUUGCACUUUAGUUCUCUCAUUUAUAAAAUAGUAACUUAACUGCUUAUUUUGUAGGGUUGCUUAAGCACAGCAUCUAACUUUAUUUAUUUAUUUUAGCAUCUAACUUCAAUAAUGUGUAUACAUUUUAGUUUCUGUCCUUUCAUCCAAAUCAGACAGAAAAAUAAGACAUGUUAAAAAAAAUGGUUAUAUGCAUUAUAUGCUUGGAGUUUUGUUUGUUCCACUUAACAGGCAGAUGUUAUGUCUAAUUUUAAAGUUCAAGAAGAUAAAAAGGGUAAAUCGGAAAGGGGAACUAUUUAACAAAAAGCUCACACCAGUUACCAAAAUAAGUCUUUCAGCUAUCUCCCUGGUCAAAGCAUAAAAUGUAAAUCUACAGUCAACUGUAAAUCCAUUUAAACUGGAGAGUCAGACGGUCAUUUUGGCCUGUGGAAUAAGGUUAGCUUUGAAAGAAACAAACUGGAGAUGAGCAACUAGUCAGGAAAGUAUGAUAGGUAUUUAGUAGAGCUAAUAAAAAGCUGAUGAGAGGGCUAUGGAAUAGAUGGAGAAAAGAGAGUUGAUCUGAGAAAUCAUUAGUAGGAAAAAUUGGCAAGACUUGGUAAAUGACUGGAUGAGAGAGGAAUCAGAGAUCACUCCCAGGUCGCCAGGCUGAUGGCUGGAAGACCUGUGGUACCUACCACCUUCGGUGGAGAGGUCUGGAAGAAAGAAGGCAAGUUCGGUUUUGGACACAGUUAGUUUUAAGCACUUGUCUAGGGUAGAGAGGCAGAUCUGGAAUCUGACAGCGUAGAGAGUAGAUGAGAUCCACCAAGGUGGGGCCUGAGACAGAGCCCCAGGUAAUACCAACAUUUAAGAGGAGAGAGGAACUAAAAUAUAAGCCAGAAAUAACAAGGAGUGGUCACACAGUAUAAUGAGAAGGAUAUGAGUGUGGACUCACAUAAUUCAUAGACAUAGUUUCAAGAGGAAGAGAAUAAGUAUUAAAUACUGAGAAAGUGUGUGGAUGUUUAUAUCUCCCCCUAAAUUCAGGCAUGGAAACCCAAUGCCCCGUUGUGAUG
ensembl:lncRNA